CUAGGCCCGUGAUCCGGGCCGGGGACAGUGCCAGGUGGGCAGUUUGACUGGGGCGGUCGCCUCCUAAAAUGUAACGGAGGCGCUCGAAGGUGGGCUCAGCACGGUUGGAAAUCGUGCGUCGAGUGUAAGAGCAGAAGCCCGCUUGACUGUGAGACCAACAAGUCGAACAGGUACGAAAGUAGGAUCUAGUGAUCCGGUGGUUCCGAGUGGAAGGGCCAUCGCUCAACGGAUAAAAGGUACUCCGGGGAUAACAGGCUGAUCUUGCCCAAGAGUUCAUAUCGACGGCAAGGUUUGGCACCUCGAUGUCGGCUCAUCGCAUCCUGGGGCUGGAGCAGGUCCCAAGGGUUGGGCUGUUCGCCCAUUAAAGCGGUACGUGAGCUGGGUUUAGAACGUCGUGAGACAGUUCGGUCCCUAUCUGUCGCGGGCGGAGGAGAUUUGACGGGAGCUGCCCCUAGUACGAGAGGACCGGGGUGGACGGACCUCUGGUGUGCGAGCUGUCCUGCCAAGGGCACCGCUCGGUAGCUAUGUCCGGCAGGGAUAAGCGCUGAAGGCAUCUAAGCGCGAAACCCGCCUGAAGAUGAGAUCUCCCGGGGCGUAAGCCCCCUGAAGGGCCCUGGUAGAUGACCAGGUUGAUAGGCCGGAGGUGUAAGCACCGUAAGGUGUUCAGCUGACCGGUACUAAUCGCCCGUGCGGCUUGACCAC
rnacentral:rRNA from 1 species